rnacentral:rRNA from 1 species
GCGGAGGAAAAGAAACCAACAGGGAUUGCCUCAGUAACGGCGAGUGAAGCGGCAAGAGCUCAACUUUGGAAUCGCUCCGGCGAGUUGUAGUCUGGAGGUGGCCACCACGAGGUGUUCUAGCAGCAGGCAAGUCCUUUGGAACAAGGCGCCAGCGAGGGUGACAGCCCCGUACCUGCUUUUGCUAGUGCUUCCUGUGGCCCACCGACGAGUCGAGUUGUUUGGGAAUGCAGCUCUAAGUGGGUGGUAAAUUCCAUCUAAGGCUAAAUAUUGGCGAGAGACCGAUAGCGAACAAGUACAGUGAUGGAAAGAUGAAAAGCACUUUGAAAAGAGAGUGAAACAGUACGUGAAAUUGUUGAAAGGGAAGGGCUUGCACCCAGACACGGUUUCGGCCGGGCCAGCAUCAAGUAGAACGGGGUUAAAAGACUUGGGGAAUGUAGCUACUUCGGUAGUGUUAUAGCCCUUGGUGAUGACCCCUGUUUUGCUUGAGGACAGCGGUCUCUAGGAUGCUGGCGCAAUGGUUGCAAGCCACCCGUCUUGAACCA